rnacentral:tRNA from 1 species
GGGCCGUUAGCUCAACUCGGUAGAGCAGCUGACUCUUAAUCAGCGGGUUGGAGGUUCGAGUCCUCCACGGCUCA